GCCGAAGUGGUGGAAUUGGUAGACACGUCGGUCUCAAAAACCGAUGGGCUUUGCCCGUGCCGGUUCGAUUCCGGCCUUCGGUACCA
rnacentral:tRNA from 1 species